CCCCACUUCCGCCGGCGGCAAACAAAACACCAAACCAAGUCAAACCCUUCAAAACCCAAGCCUGACAACCGACUUUGAUACAUCAUAAUGUUGAUGAUUCUAUACACCUUGUUUAUGAUAUGAAAUGGUGACCUUGACUGGAAGGGCCAAAAAAAAAAUAGAGAUGCAAACAUGCUUGUCCUAGAGAUAUAACUUCGAUCUAUCAGAGCUCUCAGGAGUUAAAGGAGAACAGUCACCAACAAAAUUUCGGUUCAAAUCCUUAUAUAUCCAUUUUAAAAAUAAAUAAUUAAAAAUACAAUGCCUAAUUCAAACAAGUAAAAAAUACUAACUAAUAUCAACCUCAUGGGUAAAAUACAAGCAAAGAACAGACCAUUCUUUUACACAAUCCUUGAAUCUUAAAUAUAAACAACCGUAUACCAUCCUUUUACACCAAUCCUUGAAUCUCACAAAAGACAGGAAAUGGACUCUUUCUCCGAACAAUUAAACAGAUACAACACGAGCCUUGUACAUGAUUAUGUAAGCCAUGUGCCAAUCACCUAGAGACAAACAUCAUAUAACAAUUUAUUAUUAAUCUAUUAUCUCACCCACAAAUAAUAACGAGAAGAAAAGGAUGGAUUAAACUAUAAUGAUUGAGCUAAGCCGGUGAAGGAAGAAAAAGAAAGAGGAACUCAUGCAAAUUCGUUUUUUACUUGGUAUGAUAGGCUCAAUUGUAAAAGGG
rnacentral:lncRNA from 1 species